rnacentral:lncRNA from 1 species
UUUUUGUUUUUGUUUUGUUUUUUAGGGCCACACAUGUGACACGUGCAAGUUCUCAGGCUAGGGGUCGAAUUGGAGCUGCCGCUGCCAGCCUACACCACAGCCACAGCCAUUCAGGAUCUGAACCACAUCUGCGACCUAUGCCACAGCUCACAGCAGCACUGAAUACUCAACCCAGUGAGCGAAGCCAUGGAUUGAACCUGCAUCCUCAUGGUUGCUAGUCGGGUUCAUUACUGCUGAGCCACAGUGGGAACUCCACUCUGUCUUUUGCUGUAUAUUCAGGCCUCCAGUGGAUGGGGUGCCCAUCAGCUCUGGGAGAACAAUCUGCUUUACUCUGUCAACUCAAGUGUUAAUCUCAUCCAGAAACACCCUCAUGGGCACACCCAGAAAUAAUGAUGGGCCAGAUAUCUGGGCCCUCCAUGGCCCAGUCCAGUUGACACAAAGUUUCAACCAUCAUGUGUACAUGGUGUCUUUCCUUCCUAGGUUAGCAAAUAAAGCUGAGUCAUGCAUGUCCAGCAAAUCUGUCCUCUUUAGUCAGUCUCACUAGAUUUACCUAGUGAAUAGCUGGGGAUAGUAUUUAUUUAUUUUCUGCCACUUGUAUGUCCUUAAAGGUGUAGAGAAUCACAUUUAGUUAAUCAAAAAUGAGGAUAGGAAGUCUUACAAGCGUCUUUUUUGGAGAUAAAGGCCCAGAAUAUUUGAAGUCCUUGCUGUUCCUAAGUAACACCCAGGGUGUGAGGCUGACAGAUAAAAAGUAUGUGGGAGUGAAUUAGUCCAAGUCAUCCUUCAACAUUUUUAGGUGGGUAUUUGUGUAGGUCCAUGGCUCCCAUCUUUUUUGAUGUAAAUAUAACCCUUUAUUUACAUUUUAAAAAGUACUGAAUUAUGGCAUGAUGUUAGCACAGAUUAACAUCUACUGAUUAAAAAAAGUAAUGACAAAGCUAUUUAGAAUUCUGUAGCACACUUAAAUAACUGAAUGUUGCUAACAUCCUCACAGUAUCUACAUCAAGCAAAAAUAAUACUGUAGGUUGAAAUAUACCAUUUUUAUAUUCAUGGACUGUUUAGAGACUUUGCAGUAGGCCAGUGGUUCCUCCUGGGGCCCGGGGCCAUUCUAGGUCAGGAUCCUUGGAUGCAGUGUCAUCCUUAAGGAUGAUAACUUUCAGGGGCUUUGAUUUUUAAGUCUUUGCACAGUGACUAGACAAAGAAGAACAGAGAAAGCUCUUAAAAGCUAGAUUGCCAAGAUUAGUUUCCAACUACUAAGUUGUGUUAGAUAAUGACUUAAAAAUGAAAUAGUCUUUAUAUAAGUAUGGAAAGAAAAAAAUUGUUUUGGGUAAAACUUUCCCAGUUUAGUGUGGGGCAGAAAUUUUGAGUGUAGAUACAUUUCUUAUCAUUAGAAAUGCAUUGAUUUCUAGUUAUAGUUUUGCGAUUAGAAAUAGUGGUUGGAUAGAAAAGGUAACCUUUAAAACCCAUAGAAACAGACUUCCCUGGUCUCCGGGCAAAAACCCUGCAGCUCCCACUCUGUACUUUAAAUGUGAACAGAGUGUACUGCUUUGCAGAAGUGGGAGAGCAAAUGCCAAAGCAGAGUCUGACUACUUUUCACAUCAAUUCAGGUUUUUAUUAUUUUCACAUGGUGUGUUGUUUCACUUUGUGUGACAGUGAAUGUGAUUCGAGCUGACGGGCAGUGUGGGUGUCCGGGGAAGGAGUGAGAAGGUGACAGAUGCUUGGAAAUGUUACUUCAUGGAGUGAAACAAACCCCAGGCCACCUGCACCUCAUCCUUGUCCUGUCCAGGGCCAGUGGUCCAGCAGUGGCUGGAGAUCUGGAUGAGCCCAUCCAGCAGUUGGAGCCACUCCUCACAACUCCAGGAUGUUGCAAAGGCUUCAGGCUGCUGAUACUUUGUUUCCCUUCUCAGCAAGAGGAUUCCACCAAACUUCCAUAAGUCUGAAGGCAGUCUCCAGCCCCACAUUCUUCUUAGGUGCCUUGUGUACUUUGUAACAAAGCAGAGGGGUUUUUAACAUGGUGAUGGUCCAACGCAGAUGAUUGACUUGCUGGUUCUUCUGCACACAGGUGGCUUGUUCACGUACGUUUCUGGAGCCAAUUUCCUUGGUGAGAUCAUUGAAUGGAUCGGCUAUGCCUUGGCCACUUGGUCCCUUCCAGCACUUGCAUUUGCAUUUUUCUCGCUUUGUUUCCUUGGGCUGCGAGCUUUUCACCAUCAUAGGUAAACUUUUCAAUCAAGGUGUCAGCAUCCCUGUGGCUUUCUUCUACAAAGAAGCUUUUAUUAACACAUAGAGUUAGAUUUAGAAACCUAAGAGAUUUGUUUUUUACAACGUAAAGCUGAUACAGGAAUCCAGAUGGGUAAAUUUUUGACUUCUUGGGCUUUCCCUAAAGUUAGAAUGAUUUAGCUGGAUGACAGUAGCACAGUAGCAGUAACAGUUUUUUUUUUUUUUUUUUUCUAUGAGCACAACCAAACCCAAGUAGACAGGGGCACCCGAGGUGAUUUGGGAAGCCACCUGCCGCCUUGUUGAAGAAGGCUUCCCAGAGAGAAGCAGUUUGUGUCCACAGGAGUUAGUUGACCCAGGCUGUGUGCCCUCAUAUCAGGCUGAGCUGGCGAUGGCUGCUGUCAGUCAGUGGGCUGUAGGUAAAAGUCCGGAGCUACAGGAUGUAGAUUCCAUUUCCAUGCUCCAAUUCAAUGCACGUACCCGACAUCUCUCCAAGUGUGUUCCAUGGGUAGGACCAUGGGUAGCACUUCCCGGAGCUUCGCAGGUAAUUCUGAGGCACAGCCAGAAUAGAAAACCACCAGGGAAAAACACCGUUCUGUACAUAGUGCGACUGCCAUCUUUAGUUCUAGGUUUGGUGCUAACGGUUCAGGUAACUGGAGAUUCCAGGAAACUCCAAGAUUAUCUUCUGGAAUCCGUGUAACCCCAGAGCUUUCUUUGGUACUCUCCUCCUUCCCCUUCCCCGCCUUCCACAAAUCAUAACCAAGGUCAUUGCUGGCUUCCUGGAAAGUUAGGGUCAACAAUUGUGUACGUGUGUGGCACAAUCUUGGGAGUGUGCCAUCUGCUGGGGGGUUCUGGGAAUUGCAGGGGUGUAGAGUCUUUCCACUGUCAGGGGAGCCAAAAGCUUUACUAACUCCCACCUUCCUUCCAAUCCCGCAAGGUGGGAUGGGGUGGGGACAAAAGAGUUAAGUAAAAGUAUCGCUGGAAGGGAAAGGGUUACAUGCUAAGUUGCCAUCAGCUUUUAAGGCGCGUUUCAGAUCCUUUCUCUGAAAUGGGGCUGGAGGAAAGAGAGCGCCUGUGGUUACCGGUGACAGAAAGAGGAGGAAUGUCCAAAGGGAGGAUAGACUUGGAACCAGGGCCCUGAAGGAACCCCUGAGACUCUUAUGUGGGUAUUUUAGUCCAGUUAACGAUUCAUUUCAUAGUUUUGAAGGUUAAAGUAGGAAUGGGUAUUCUUACUGGGAGUGGAACAUCUGCAGAGACCUGUUAGAAAUGAAUGAAGCAGCCAGGGUCCUCAUGAACUCCCCCUGCCCCCGCCUGGGCUGGGGGGGAGGUGCGGAGAGGCCCCAGCUGUGAGGGGUCAGUGCAUCAGUUCUCCCCCAUUCAGGCAGGCCUGUUGUCCACCAAGGUCAGAGGGGCGGGGGAGGGGACAGGGCGUCAGCUCUCUGUUGGAGGGGCCCCUGAGAGGCGGGGAUGCUGCUGGACUGGAUCAGAGGAGGAAUAGCAGUUCCAUCAGAGGGUUCCAGCUGGCACAACAGCAAAAUCCAAACGGGGGCCCUGUCCUUUCCUGUCAGCCUGCUUAAGACGGGAAGGCUAGAGGGCUUCCUUUUUAUCGGGCUCACUGGGGUUUGGGAGAGGCGGCUCAACAGGCCUCAAAGCACAGCGUGGAGAAGCAGCCACCUCCAGUGACACAUUAUUCCUAUUUGUUCCCCAGUUCAAACUCUGGCACUUGAACAGAGUGUAUCAAUUUGAUUAUAGCUUGAGAGCUACCAGCUUCAACUAGUUAAGAGAACAGCCUGGUCACAUAAAGAGAAAGCCUUUUUGAAGGAGGUAUUUAGUCUCCUGGGGCUCCCCAAACUGAUGACCGCCACCUGGGUGGCUUAAAGAAUAGCCAUUCUUUCCCCCUCACGGUUCUGGAGGCAGAAGUCUGAAGUCAAGGUGUGGGCAGAGCUACGCUCUCUCUGAAGGCUGGAGGGAAGAAUCCUUCCUCACCUCUCCAGCUUCUGGCGGUGGCCAGCGAUCCGUGGUGUUCCUGGCUUACAGCUGCAUCACUCUGAUGCCCGCCUCUGUCUUCACGUGGGCUUCGCCCCUGUGUGUCUCUGUCUCUGUGUCUCUCCUUCCCCUGAAUUGUGAGGACGCCAGCUGUAUUGGAUUAAAGGCCCACCUUGAGCCAGUAUGACUCAUCUCAACUUAAUAAAUUAUAUCUGCAAUCACCUAUUUCCAAAAUAAGGUCACUUUCUCAGGUCCUUGGGGUUAGAACUUCAGAAUAUAUUUUUGGAGGGGACGCCAUUCAACCCGUCAUACAAGGUAACGUUUUCUUGGCAUUCCCAGGCCUCAUAAAGGGAUAUUUUCCUUGGGAACAUGACCGGUUCUCUAGCGCUAACCUUGCCCAUGCUUUUUGGGGUCUGUGGUUCUCUGUAUUUCUCAACUGAAUCCACUGAGCAAUUCUUUCUGGCUCUAUUUUUUAUGGGUAAAAUAUACAUAACAAAGUUUUUCAUUUUAAUCAUUUGAAGUGUGUAAAUUGGUGGCAUCAGGUAUGUUCAUCACAUUGUGAUCCUCUGGCUAUUGCUUUUUAUUUCUCAACUUGAGAAGCUUCAACAUUUACAAGAGAUAGGGUACAGGAGGGAGGAGAAGAGAGACAGAUAGCUGCCUGGAAGAGGCAGGCCCUGGAUGACUGCAGGCUGAUUUGUCAGAGGGACCUCAAACAGUUCAAAACCCCGUGGUUGACCACUGCUUGGUUAUAUUCAUAAUGAGUCCUUUCUUGUCUUUUAGGUUCUACGUCAAGAUGUUUGAGGACUACCCCAAGUCUCGAAAAGCCCUUAUUCCAUUUAUCUUUUAAAGAAACCAAAUAAAAAAGGAACAAAGUCCCCACAAUCUUGUUGAAGAACCAUCAAGCUGCGGAACCUGUAACUUUUCAAGUCCCACUGUGUAUGUGUAAUAAUCAGCCUCUGGUGUUCUGGCAGGUGGCCCGAGGAUUCUGCACGGGACCCCUUAGUGUUUCCUUGAACCCUCUCUGCGGGUCCCUAUCCUGAUUUCCUAUUAAAACUUCCACAAGGUCUGCUUUUAUGCAGAGGUAUCUGUUUCUUAGCUCUUCCUCCUAGAAAGUGUAAACUUCCCUUUGUAUUUUUUUCUCUGAAUGGCCCAAGUCCAUGUGACUUUAUAUCUAUGCUGUGUCAGUAUAAGACAGCUCUGUAUUUGAGAGUGUUUUGAGUUGAGGGCAGUGCUUACGGAAUUUAUUUAAGGUACACAUUUAACACCUAUGCAGACCAGCAGAGAUUUAAAUUGUAAAGCUGCACAGACCCAGAGCAAAUCUCCUCCGAAAUGAAAGCCCUGUCAUAUCUUCCUUUUCCUCAGUUAAUUAUGAAAGAUGUGACAAGAAUAAGUUGACUCUUCAAGGAGGCGUCUUCUCUUCAUAUGGCUGAAAAUGCAGUGAUGCAUUGACCCUGUUUCAAAUCUGUGCGGUCUUAGUGCCUCUGUCUUCCUGAAGAUUUCACAGUCCCUGUUAGAGAUAUAGUCUAAUGUAGAAAACUGGGGUGGGUUUUUGCUGAAGGUCAGGUUUUAACAACCAAGAAGUCAUGACUCUGGUUGCCUACAGAGAGAGAGUGAAAAUGGGUUGUGU